rnacentral:tRNA from 1 species
ACCUGGCUGGCUCAGUUGGUAGAGCAUGUGACUCUUGAUCUCAGUGUUGUGAGUUGGAACCCCACAUUGGGUG